UACGUAGGGUGCGAGCGUUGUCCGGAUUUAUUGGGCGUAAAGAGCUCGUAGGCGGUUUGUCGCGUCGGCCGUGAAAACCUACAGCUUAACUGUGGGCUUGCGGUCGAUACGGGCAGACUUGAGUUCGGCAGGGGAGACUGGAAUUCCUGGUGUAGCGGUGAAAUGCGCAGAUAUCAGGAGGAACACCGGUGGCGAAGGCGGGUCUCUGGGCCGAUACUGACGCUGAGGAGCGAAAGCGUGGGGAGCGAACAGGAUUAGAUACCCCGGUAGUCCCU
rnacentral:rRNA from 1 species